rnacentral:lncRNA from 1 species
UGGUUGGGGAUGUGCUUUUGAGGAGUUGAGGGCCGCGAACUCCGUUGGCUUUCUACCCUUUCCAUUCGGCCACUAAUAGAGGCCACUUCCACUCCCAACUUAUCAAGACCCGCAUUCACUCUAGCCACGUCCCGAGACAAGGAUUCAAGAUUAGCCACAAGAGCAUUCAAAACAUUUUGGUCCACAGUUUGUGCAUUGGAAGUUU